rnacentral:rRNA from 1 species
UGUCGUCAGCUCGUGUUGUGAAAUGUUGGGUUAAGUCCCGCAACGAGCGCAACCCUUAUCCUUUGUUGCCAGCGGUCCGGCCGGGAACUCAAAGGAGACUGCCAGUGAUAAACUGGAGGAAGGUGGGGAUGACGUCAAGUCAUCAUGGCCCUUACGACCAGGGCUACACACGUGCUACAAUGGCGCAUACAAAGAGAAGCGACCUCGCGAGAGCAAGCGGACCUCAUAAAGUGCGUCGUAGUCCGGAUUGGAGUCUGCAACUCGACUCCAUGAAGUCGGAAUCGCUAGUAAUCGUGGAUCAGAAUGCCACGGUGAAUACGUUCCCGGGCCUUGUACACACCGCCCGUCACACCAUGGGAGUGGGUUGCAAAAGAAGUAGGUAGCUUAACCUUCGGGAGGGCGCUUACCAC